AUGGGSGCAACUCUGAYCCAGCCAUGCCGCGUGCAGUGAWGACUGCCCUAUGGGUUGUAAACUGCUUUUAUACAGGAAGAAACACACCUACGUGUAGAGUCUUGACGGUACUGUAAGAAUAAGCACCGGCUAACUCCGUGCCAGCAGCCGCGGUAAUACGGAGGGUGCAAGCGUUAUCCGGAAUCAUUGGGUUUAAAGGGUCCGCAGGCGGUCAAUUAAGUCAGAGGUGAAAUCCCAUAGCUCAACUAUGGAACUGCCUUUGAUACUGGUUGACUUGAGUUAUACGGAAGUAGAUAGAAU
rnacentral:rRNA from 1 species